ensembl:lncRNA
UCCUGCCAGCACAUAGUACCCUAAAAAUAACAGUAAUAUGAAUAUUGAGUACUCCUGCCCUGAGAGCAGUGCAUAGUUUAGUAAAAUAACGGUAAUAUGAAUAUUGAGUACUCCUGCCCGGAGAGCAGCACAUAAUUUAGUAAAAUAACAGUAAUAUGAAUAUUGAGUACUUCUGCCCUGAGAGCAGCGCAUAGUUGAGUAAAAUAACAGUAAUAUGAAGAUUGAGUACUCCUGCCCUGAGAGCAGCGCAUAGUUUAGUAAAAUAACAGUAAUAUGAAUAUUGAGUGCUCCUGCCCUGAGAGCAGUGCGUAGUUUAUUAAAAUAAGAGUAAUAUGAAUAUUGAGUACUCCUGCCCUGAGAGCAGCACAUAGUUUAGUAAAAUAACAGUAAUAUGAAUAUUGAGUACUCCUGCCCUGAGAGCAGCACAUAGUUUAUUAAAAUAACAGUAAUAUGAAUAUUGAGUGCUCCUGCCCUGAGAGCAGCACAUAGUUUAUUAAAAUAACAGUAAUAUGAAUAUUGAGUACUCCUGCCCUGAGAGCAGUGCAUAGUUUAGUAAAAUAACAGUUAUAUGAAUUUUGAUUACUCCUGCCAGCACAUAGUACCCUAAAAAUAACAGUAAUAUGAAUAUUGAGUACUCCUGCCCUGAGAGCAGUGCAUAGUUUAGAAAAAUAACAGUAAUAUGAAUAUUGAGUAUUCCUGCCCUGAGAGCAGCGCAUAGUAUACUAAAAAUAACAGUUAUAUGAAUAUUGAGUACUCCUGCCCUGAGAGCAGCACAUAAUAUACUAAAAAUAACAGUUAUAUGAAUAUUGAGUACUACUGCCAGCACAUAGUACCCUAAAAAUAACAGUAAUAUGAAUAUUGAGUACUCCUGCCCUGAGAGCAGUGCAUAGUUUAUAAAAAUAACAGUAAUAUGAAUAUUGAGUACUCCUGCCCUGAGAGCAGCACAUAGUUUAUUAAAAUAACAGUAAUAUGAAUAUUGAGUGCUCCUGCCCUGAGAGCAGUGCGUAGUUUAUUAAAAUAACAGUAAUAUGAAUUUUGAGUGUUCC